GACGAACGCUGGCGGCGUGCCUAAUACAUGCAAGUUGAGCGCUGAAGGUUGGUACUUGUACCAACUGGAUGAGCAGCGAACGGGUGAGUAACGCGUGGGGAAUCUGCCUUUGAGCGGGGGACAACAUUUGGAAACGAAUGCUAAUACCGCAUAAAAACUUUAAACACAAGUUUUAAGUUUGAAAGAUGCAAUUGCAUCACUCAAAGAUGAUCCCGCGUUGUAUUAGCUAGUUGGUGAGGUAAAGGCUCACCAAGGCGAUGAUACAUAGCCGACCUGAGAGGGUGAUCGGCCACAAUGGGACUGAGACACGGCCCAAACUCCUACGGGAGGCAGCAGUAGGGAAUCUUCGGCAAUGGACGAAAGUCUAACCGAGCAACGCCGCGUGAGUGAAGAAGGGUUUCGGAUCGUAAAACUCUGUUGGUAGAGAAGAACGUUGGUGAGAGUGGAAAGCUCAUCAAGUGACGGUAACUACCCAGAAAGGGACGGCUAACUACGUG
rnacentral:rRNA from 1 species